UACAGAGGUCUCAAGCGUUGUUCGGAUUCAUUGGGCGUAAAGGGUGCGUAGGUGGCGCUGUAAGUCGGGUGUGAAAUUUCGGAGCUUAACUCCGAAACUGCAUUCGAUACUGCGGUGCUUGAGGACUGGAGAGGAGACUGGAAUUCAUGGUGUAGCAGUGAAAUGCGUAGAGAUCAUGAGGAAGACCAGUGGCGAAGGCGGCAUCCUGGACCGGCAUUGACGCUGAUGAGCGAAAGCUAGGGGAGCAAACGGG
rnacentral:rRNA from 1 species